rnacentral:rRNA from 1 species
UACGUAGGGGGCAAGCGUUGUCCGGAUUUAUUGGGCGUAAAGAGCGUGUAGGCGGCUAGGUAGGUCCGUUGUGAAAACUCGAGGCUCAACCUCGAGACGUCGAUGGAAACCAUCUAGCUAGAGUCCGGAAGAGGAGAGUGGAAUUCCUGGUGUAGCGGUGAAAUGCGCAGAUAUCAGGAAGAACACCCGUGGCGAAGGCGGCACUCUGGGACGGUACUGACGCUGAAGAUGCGAAAAGCGU